rnacentral:lncRNA from 1 species
GUUUAAGAAUUACUGCUCUAAGAGGUCAUCAGUAAAUUUUAAAACAGUGCCCAAUUACUCUUUCUCUGUGCUCAGUUGCUGAUGCUAUCUGCCAAGCUAUAGUCAAAGUCUGUAAAUAAAUAAACCAAUAAAGCCCUUGGGGGAAAAGUUAUUAAUCUACAACACAGUGAUCUUGUAACUUUUGAAAAUACAGGAGUCUCCCCUUAUCCUUGGUUUCACUUCCUGUGGUUUCAGUUACCCUUGGUCAACCAUGGUCUGUAAAUAGGAAAACACUUAAUUGAGGAAAAAUGCACUACAGUAGUAUACCCUUAUCUUCAUGGAAUACUUUUCAAGACCACCAAUGGAUGCCUUAGACUGAGCAUGAAGAAUUUUGAAGUUGAAACUUCACCAGAGUUGUGCCUUAGGUGGAGAAAUGGAAAACUAUAGAAGCAAAACCCAGAAAGUUAAAAGAAGAAAGAUACACGAGUUAUAUGAAUCUGCAAACAUAUUCAACUUUACUAUCAAUCAACAAAGAGAGAGAUCUCAUCCAUAGUUAGUGGAUGCAAAAUUUGGUGAAACCU